rnacentral:rRNA from 1 species
AAGAACCUGAAACCGUGUACGUACAAGCAGUGGGAGCACAGGUUUACCUGUGUGACUGCGUACCUUUUGUAUAAUGGGUCAGCGACUUAUAUUCUGUAGCAAGGUUAACCGUAUAGGGGAGCCGUAGGGAAACCGAGUCUUAACCGGGCGUUAAGUUGCAGGGUAUAGACCCGAAACCCGGUGAUCUAGCCAUGGGCAGGUUGAAGGUUGGGUAACACUAACUGGAGGACCGAACCGACUAAUGUUGAAAAAUUAGCGGAUGACCUGUGGCUGGGGGUGAAAGGCCAAUCAAACCGGGAGAUAGCUGGUUCUCCCCGAAAGCUAUUUAGGUAGCGCCUCGUGAAUUCAUCUCCGGGGGUAGAGCACUGUUUCGGCUAGGGGGCCAUCCCGGCUUACCAACCCGAUGCAAACUGCGAAUACCGGAGAAUGUUAUCACGGGAGACACACGGCGGGUGCUAACGUCCGUCGUGAAGAGGGAAACAACCCAGACCGCCAGCUAAGGUCCCAAAGUCAUGGUUAAGUGGGAAACGAUGUGGGAAGGCCCAGACAGCCAGGAUGUUGGCUUAGAAGCAGCCAUCAUUUAAAGAAAGCGUAAUAGCUCACUGGUCGAGUCGGCCUGCGCGGAAGAUGUAACGGGGCUAAACCAUGCACCGAAGCUGCGGCAGCGAACGUAUCACCCAAGACAACUUUACGGAGUUGACGAUUGACGGAGCGAAGCGACGUCAAAGCGUUCAUUAAAGUCGAGUUGGCUUAGGGAUACGUUCGUUGGGUAGGGGAGCGUUCUGUAAGCCUGUGAAGGUGUGUCGUGAGGCAUGCUGGAGGUAUCAGAAGUGCGAAUGCUGACAUAAGUAACGAUAAAGCGGGUGAAAAGCCCGCUCGCCGGAAGACCAAGGGUUCCUGUCCAACGUUAAUCGGGGCAGGGUGAGUCGACCCCUAAGGCGAGGCCGAAAGGCGUAGUCGAUGGGAAACGGGUUAAUAUUCCCGUACUUGGUGUUACUGCGAAGGGGGGACGGAGAAGGCUAUGUUGGCCGGGCGACGGUUGUCCCGGUUUAAGCGUGUAGGUGUGUGUUCCAGGUAAAUCCGGUUCACUUUAACACUGAGGCGUGACGACGAGGCACUACGGUGCUGAAGCAACAAAUGCCCUGCUUCCAGGAAAAGCCUCUAAGCAUCAGGUAACACGAAAUCGUACCCCAAACCGACACAGGUGGUCAGGUAGAGAAUACCAAGGCGCUUGAGAGAACUCGGGUGAAGGAACUAGGCAAAAUGGUGCCGUAACUUCGGGAGAAGGCACGCUGACACGUAGGUGAAGUGAUUUACUCAUGGAGCUGAAGUCAGUCGAAGAUACCAGCUGGCUGCAACUGUUUAUUAAAAACACAGCACUGUGCAAACACGAAAGUGGACGUAUACGGUGUGACGCCUGCCCGGUGCCGGAA